rnacentral:rRNA from 1 species
UACGGUGGGGGCUAGCGUUAUUCGGAAUUAUUGGGCGUAAAGGGCGUGUAGGCGGCUUUGUAAGUCUUGUGUGAAAGCCCUCGGCUCAACCGGGGAAUUGCACGAGAAACUGCGAGGCUUGAGUCCGGGAGAGGAAAGUGGAAUUCCCAGUGUAGCGGUGAAAUGCGUAGAUAUUGGGAGGAACACCAGUGGCGAAGGCGGCUUUCUGGACCGGUACUGACGCUGAGACGCGAAAGCCAGGGGAGCAAACGGGAUUAGAACU